rnacentral:rRNA from 1 species
AACGAACGCUAGCGGUGUGGAUUAGGCAUGCAAGUCGCGCGCGAAAGCCUUCGGGCGAGUAAAGCGGCGAAAGGGUGAGUAACACGUAACCAACGUACCCCUCAGACUGGGAUAACCACUGGAAACGGUAGGAUAAUACCGGAUGGUCCACUGGGCAGCAUUGCCUGGCUGGUAAACGGCGGCCGCAAGGCGGUUGCUGAGGGAGCGGGUUGCGGCCUAUCAGCUUGUUGGUGAGGUAACGGCUCACCAAGGCUAUGACGGGUAACAGGUCUGAGAGGAUGAUCUGUCACACUGGGACUGAGACACUGCCCAGACUCCUACGGGAGGCUGCAGUCGAGAAUCUUCCACAAUGGGCGAAAGCUGAUGGAGCGACACCGCGUGCAGGAUGAAGGCC